AGGCCUUGCGCUCAUUGAGCGGCCGAUAUCAGACUAGCUAGUUGGUGGGGUAAAAGCUCACCAAGGCGACGAUCUGUAGCGGGUCUGAGAGGAUGAUCCGCCACACUGGAACUGAGACACGGUCCAGACUCCUACGGGAGGCAGCAGUGGGGAAUUUUGGACAAUGGGGGCAACCCUGAUCCAGCCAUGCCGCGUGAGUGAAGAAGGCCUUCGGGUUGUAAAGCUCUUUCAGCCGGGAAGAAAACGCAUUGGUUAAUACCUGGUGUGGAUGACGGUACCGGAAUAAGAAGCACCGGCUAACUACGUGCCAGCAGCCGCGGCAAUACGUAGGGUGCGAGCGUUAAUCGGAAUUACUGGGCGUAAAGCGUGCGCAGGCGGUUUUGUAAGAUAGGUGUGAAAUCCCCGGGCUUAACCUGGGAACUGCAUUUAUGACUGCAAGGCUAGAGUACGGCAGAGGGGGGUGGAAUUCCACGUGUAGCAGUGAAAUGCGUAGAGAUGUGGAGGAACACCAAUGGCGAAGGCAGCCCCCUGGGUCGAUACUGACGCUCAUGCACGAAAGCGUGGGUAGCAAACAGGAUUAGAUACCCUGGUAGUCCACGCCCUAAACGAUGUCAACUAGGUGUUGGGUGGGUAAAACCAUUUAGUGCCGGAGCUAACGCGUGAAGUUGACCGCCUGGGGAGUACGGCCGCAAGGUUAAAACUCAAAGGAAUUGACGGGGACCCGCACAAGCGGUGGAUGAUGUGGAUUAAUUCGAUGCAACGCGAAAAACCUUACCUACCCUUGACAUGUCAGGAACUUGCCAGAGAUGGCUUGGUGCUCGAAAGAGAACCUGAACACAGGUGCUGCAUGGCUGUCGUCAGCUCGUGUCGUGAGAUGUUGGGUUAAGUCCCGCAACGAGCGCAACCCUUGUCGUUAAUUGCCAUCAUUUAGUUGGGCACUUUAACGAGACUGCCGGUGACAAACCGGAGGAAGGUGGGGAUGACGUCAAGUCCUCAUGGUCCUUAUGGGUAGGGCUUCACACGUCAUACAAUGGUCGGUACAAAGGGUCGCCAACCCGCGAGGGGGAGCUAAUCCCAUAAAGCCGAUCGUAGUCCGGAUUGCAGGCUGCAACUCGCCUGCAUGAAGUCGGAAUCGCUAGUAGUCGUGGAUCAGCAUGUCACGGUGAAUACGUUCCCGGGUCUUGUACACACCGCCCGUCACACCAUGGGAGCGGGUUCCGCCAGAAGUAGGUAGCCUAACCGCAAGGAGGGCGCUUACCACGGCGGGGUUCGUGACUGGGGUGAAGUCGUAACAAGGUA
rnacentral:rRNA from 1 species